UGGGCUUGACAUGCAUGGGAAGCCUCUGAGAGAUCAGGGGUGCUCUUCGGAGCUCAUGCACAGAUGCUGCAUGGCUGUCGUCAGCUCGUGUCGUGAGAUGUUGGGUUAAGUCCCGCAACGAGCGCAACCCUUUUCUUCAGUUACCAGCGGGUAAUGCCGGGGACUCUGGAGGGACUGCCGGUGCCAAACCGGAGGAAGGUGGGGAUGACGUCAGCCUAUCGAGA
rnacentral:misc_RNA from 1 species